rnacentral:rRNA from 1 species
UACAGGGGGGGCAAGCGUUGUUCGGAAUUACUGGGCGUAAAGGGUCUGUAGGUGGCCAACUAAGUCAGACGUGAAAUCCCUCAGCUUAACUGGGGAACUGCGUCUGAUACUGGAUGGCUCGAGUGUGGGAGAGGAAUGCGGAAUUCCAGGUGUAGCGGUGAAAUGCGUAGAUAUCUGGAGGAACACCGGUGGCGAAGGCGGCGUCCUGGACCAACACUGACGCUGAGGAGCGAAAGCCAGGGGAGCAAACGGG